rnacentral:rRNA from 1 species
GGCUCAGAUUGAACGCUGGCGGCAUGCCUUACACAUGCAAGUCGAACGGCAGCACGGGUGCUUGCACCUGGUGGCGAGUGGCGAACGGGUGAGUAAUAUAUCGGAACGUACCUUAUUGUGGGGGAUAACGCAGCGAAAGCUGUGCUAAUACCGCAUAAUCCCUUAGGGGGAAAGCGGGGGACCGUAAGGCCUCGCGCAAUUAGAGCGGCCGAUACCUGAUUAGCUAGUUGGUGAGGUAAAGGCUCACCAAGGCAACGAUCAGUAGCUGGUCUGAGAGGACGAUCAGCCACACUGGGACUGAGACACGGCCCAGACUCCUACGGGAGGCAGCAGUGGGGAAUAUUGGACAAUGGGCGAAAGCCUGAUCCAGCAAUGCCGCGUGAGUGAUGAAGGCCUUAGGGUUGUAAAGUUCUGUUAUACGGGACGAAUGGUACGACGGCCAAUACCCGUCGUAAGUGACGGUACCGUAAGAGAAAGCCACGGCUAACUACGUG